rnacentral:rRNA from 1 species
UACGAAGGGGGCUAGCGUUGCUCGGAAUUACUGGGCGUAAAGGGCGCGUAGGCGGAUACUUAAGUCGGGGGUGAAAGCCCAGGGCUCAACCCUGGAACAGCCUUCGAUACUGGGUAUCUUGAGUACGGGAGAGGUGUGUGGAACUCCGAGUGUAGAGGUGAAAUGCGUAGAGAUGUGGAGGAACACCGAUGGCGAAGGCAGCCCCCUGGGUUAACACUGACGCUCAGGCACGAAAGCGUGGGGAGCAAACAGG